UCAAUCUCGUGCGGCUAGAAGCCGCCUGUCCCUCUAAGAAGAGUUUUCCGCCCGAAGCAUAAAGAUCCGGGCGUCUAGUUAGCAGGUUAGAGUCUCGUUCGUUAU
rnacentral:rRNA from 1 species